AGACCCGAAACCCGGUGAUCUAGCCAUGGGCAGGUUGAAGGUUGGGUAACACUAACUGGAGGACCGAACCGACUAAUGUUGAAAAAUUAGCGGAUGACCUGUGGCUGGGGGUGAAAGGCCAAUCAAACCGGGAGAUAGCUGGUUCUCCCCGAAAGCUAUUUAGGUAGCGCCUCGUGAAUUCAUCUCCGGGGGUAGAGCACUGUUUCGGCUAGGGGGCCAUCCCGGCUUACCAACCCGAUGCAAACUGCGAAUACCGGAGAAUGUUAUCACGGGAGACACACGGCGGGUGCUAACGUCCGUCGUGAAGAGGGAAACAACCCAGACCGCCAGCUAAGGUCCCAAAGUCAUGGUUAAGUGGGAAACGAUGUGGGAAGGCCCAGACAGCCAGGAUGUUGGCUUAGAAGCAGCCAUCAUUUAAAGAAAGCGUAAUAGCUCACUGGUCGAGUCGGCCUGCGCGGAAGAUGUAACGGGGCUAAACCAUGCACCGAAGCUGCGGCAGCGAACGUAUCACCCAAGACAACUUUACGGAGUUGACGAUUGACGGAGCGAAGCGACGUCAAAGCGUUCAUUAAAGUCGAGUUGGCUUAGGGAUACGUUCGUUGGGUAGGGGAGCGUUCUGUAAGCCUGUGAAGGUGUGUCGUGAGGCAUGCUGGAGGUAUCAGAAGUGCGAAUGCUGACAUAAGUAACGAUAAAGCGGGUGAAAAGCCCGCUCGCCGGAAGACCAAGGGUUCCUGUCCAACGUUAAUCGGGGCAGGGUGAGUCGACCCCUAAGGCGAGGCCGAAAGGCGUAGUCGAUGGGAAACGGGUUAAUAUUCCCGUACUUGGUGUUACUGCGAAGGGGGGACGGAGAAGGCUAUGUUGGCCGGGCGACGGUUGUCCCGGUUUAAGCGUGUAGGUGUGUGUUCCAGGUAAAUCCGGUUC
rnacentral:rRNA from 2 species